UACGGAGGAUGCAAGCGUUAUCCGGAAUGAUUGGGCGUAAAGCGUCCGCAGGUGGCAUCUCAAGUCUGCUGACAAAGCCCCCAGCUGAACUGGGAAGAGGCAGUGGAAACUGGGAAGCUAGAGAGCAAUAGGGGUAGAGGGAAUUCCCGGUGUAGCGGUGAAAUGCGUAGAGAUCGGGAAGAACACCAGUGGCGAAAGCGCUCUACUAGGUUGCAUCUGACACUGAGGGACGAAAGCUAGGGGAGCGAAUGGG
rnacentral:rRNA from 1 species